rnacentral:rRNA from 1 species
CCUACGGGUGGCAGCAGUGGGGGAUAUUGCACAAUGGGGGAAACCCUGAUGCAGCGACGCCGCGUGGGUGAAGAAGUAUUUCGGUAUGUAAAGCCCUAUCAGCAGGGAAGAAAGAAGACGGUACCUGACUAAGACGCCCCGGCUAACUACGUGCCAGCAGCCGCGGUAAUACGUAGGGGGCGAGCGUUAUCCGGAUUCACUGGGUGUAAAGGGAGCGUAGACGGCCGUGCAAGCCAGGAGUGAAAGCCCGGGGCCCAACCCAGGGACUGCUCUUGGAACUGUGCGGCUGGAGUGCGGGAGGGGCAGGCGGAAUUCCUGGUGUAGCGGUGAAAUGCGUAGAUAUCAGGAGGAACACCGGCGGCGAAGGCGGCCUGCUGGACCGCGACUGACGUUGAGGCUCGAAAGCGUGGGGAGCGAACAGGAUUAGAUACCCUAGUAGUC